rnacentral:rRNA from 1 species
GGCGACGUGGGCGCUUGGUCCGGGGGAAUAGGUAGGGGUCGAGGUUGGUCCGGAAUUAGUGGGCGGAAAGUGGUCGUAGGCGGGUUUGUGCGUCGGGAGUGAAAACCUCAUGCUUAACAUGUGGCUUGCUUUCGAUACGGGCAGACUGGAGGUAUGCAGGGGAGAACGGAAUUCCUGGUGUAGCGGUGAAAUGCGCAGAUAUCAGGAGGAACACCGGUGGCGAAGGCGGUUCUCUGGGCAUUACCUGACGCUGAGGAGCGAAAGUGUGGGGAGCGAACAGGAUUAGAUACCCCAGUAGUC